CCCUUAGAUGUUCUGGGCCGCACGCGUGCUACACUGAGUGGAUCAGCGGGUCAGGUUACGCGAGAGCGUUUCCUAAUCUUCAAAUCCGCUCGUGAUGGGGAUUGACGGUUGCAAUUUUCCGUCGUGAACGAGGAAUACCUUGUAAGCGCGGGUCAUCAUCCCGCGCUGAAUACGUCCCUGCCCUUUGUACACACCGCCCGUCGCUCCUACCGAUUGAGUGGUCCGGUGAGGCUUUGGGAUCUAAGCGAAAAGAGCGUUUCGCUCCUUUUGCUGGGAGAACUCAGUCGAACCUUAUCAUUUAGAGGAAGGAGAAGUCGUAACA
rnacentral:rRNA from 1 species